ensembl:snoRNA
AAGACUAUACUUUCAGGGAUCAUUUCUAUAGUCACUGACUUGAGGAAUGUGUUUCUAAAGUGUAUGGUCUCGCUAACCACGAUGAAGAGUUAGUGAUACUUUUCCCUGAGCGCGAAGCGGACAGGGAGACUUGAUUCAUUCAUAUGCUCUCUGUUUUUGAUGACCGUUCACUGUCUCCUUUGGGGAUAAUGAGGGGAAGAGUAUGAUCAGAGUGGUA